rnacentral:misc_RNA from 1 species
CAGAGUUGCAAAACUCCCAGCCAUUGUGAACCUACCUCACCGUUGCUUCGGCGGGUGGCCCGGGGCAACCCAGGCCGCGCCGGCACCCUUCUUCGGGGGGCCCGGCAAGCCCGUCAGAGGACCGAAACCCUGUAAUUACUGGCCUCUCUGAGUAACUUAUACAAUAAGUCA